CCGGCGUCACAAAGGCUCUGGAAUAUUACCGUAGCUUCGCGUUCAUUCUGCUGCUGGCGCUCUUUCAGUCUGUCAUGACAGUACAAACAUAUCUGCGUUAACGUCGAUGUAAACAUAAACUCAACGUGUGCUGGACGCGUCCACAGGAGCGUUAUAUUACAUCGCAACAGGUCUUCACCUGCGGAAGAGAGCGGCCAUACAGCCCGUCACUCGUCAUGCUGUGCUGGGGGAAUGCCUCGUACGGGCAGCUGGGUUUGGGUGGGAUUGAUGAGGAGAUAGUGCUGGAGCCGAGGAAAUGCGAGUUCUUCGAGGGCAAGCGUGUGAGGGAUGUGGGAUGCGGCAGACGUCACAGCGUCUUUCUGCUGGAGGACGGGACGGUGUACACCUGCGGCUGCAAUGACCUGGGACAGCUGGGGCAUGACAAAGCACGCAAGAAACCAGAACAGGUCGUGUCUCUGGAUGCUCAGAACAUUGUGUCCGUGUCUUGCGGUGCAGCUCAUACUCUGGCUCUGAAUGAUAAAGGACAAGUGUUUGCAUGGGGUCUGGGCUCAGACAGGCAGCUCGGACUUUCGAACAUUGAAGAUUGUAUCCGUAUACCCAGAACUGUCAAGAGUUUAUCAGAGCUUCACAUUGCCCAGGUGGCCUGUGGAUACUGCCAUUCCCUUGCUUUAGCCAGAGGUCAGAUAUUCUCCUGGGGCCAAAAUAAAUAUGGACAGCUGGGGCUCGGGAUGCAGGGAGCCAGCGUCUCCUCCCCACAAGUCAUUCAGUCUUUGCAGGGCGUCCCAUUUGCCCAGAUAUCUGCAGGGGGCGCUCACAGCUUCGGGCUCACGCUGUCUGGGGCUGUUUUCGGCUGGGGACGAAACAAGUUUGGCCAGCUGGGCCUCAGUGACAAUGAUGAUCGCUAUUUCCCUGCCUUACUGAAGACUCUCAGGUCCCAACGGGUCGUUUACGUAUGCUGUGGAGAGGACCACACGGCUGUAUUAACGAAGGAGGGAGGUGUUUUUACAUUUGGAGCGGGUGGUUACGGUCAGCUGGGACACAACACCUCAAACCAUGAGGUGAACCCCAGGAAGGUGUUUGAACUCAUGGGAAAUGUGGUUGCACAUAUAGCUUGUGGUAGGCAGCACACUUUGGCGUUCAUCCCUUCAUCAGGAAAGAUUGACUCGUUUGGUCUCGGCGGUAAUGGACAGCUAGGAACCCGUUCGACCUGCAAUAGGAUAAGUCCCGCCCCUGUGAAGGGCUGCUAUUUGACGGGGUUGUGUAUUUCAGAGGCGGAGCAGAGUUUCUGUGUGAAGAGGAUCUACGCUGGAGGAGAUCAGAGCUUCGCUCACUACGCUUUACCUCAGGACGACAGCCCUCCAGUUGAUGUGCGGAUAACCAGACCUGAUGGACAGAUAUACACGCUCAGUGAUGACCUCAUCCAAAAAUGGCUCAAUCACGGCUAUGGGAGACUAUCACCAGAAAUCACCAAUGAGAUUGAUCUUGUGUUCUCUUCAGCAAGUUGUCUCAAUGGAAGCUUUCUGUCUGGAAGUAAUCCAGAUCACUACAGCACUAGCAGUAAGUGCUCAGGUGUAGACGUUAACACGGCUCGCCUGCUCUACCACAGACUCAUCCAGCCCGAUUACCCACAAAUCUCACAAAUUGUAGCUGCUAGUUUGGAGAAGAAUCUCCUCCCCAGAUUGAGCAGUUCUCCUCCAGACAUUGAGGCUCUGAGACUGUACCUCACGCUGCCCGAGUGUCCACUCCUCAGCAACCCCAACAACUACACAACCCUCACUAUUCCCUUCGCCAAGGCCGUCGUAAGCCUGAAGGACGCCCCCCUCAAAGUGCUCGGAAACUGGUGGUCAAAGUUUGAGCCAGCGGUCUUCCAGAGGCUGGUGGAGCUGUACAAGGAGGUGGUGGUGUAUCUGCUGCGGAUGCAGAAACUGGGAAUUCCUCUUUCUGAACAGAGGAUCUUCACCUGCUUCCUGCACACCUCACUCAAAUUCCUGGAGGUCCUCCACUCGGUUAAUGAGCGUGCUGGCCAGAUCAUCCAGUAUGACAAGUUUUAUAUUCAUGAGCUGGAUGAGCUCAUUGACAUCAGGAAUGAUUAUGUCACCUGGUUUCAGCAGCAGAUGUUCUCUGUGAAUUACCAAUGUUUUUGCAUUGUGACCAUGUGCCAAUACCCAUUUGUUUUUGACGCUCAGGCAAAGACGGCGCUGCUUCAGACUGAUGCUGUGAUCCAGAUGCAGAUGGCGGUGGAUCAUGCUCAGAGACAGAACUUACACUCUCUGUUCCUGUCCGGUGGAGGAGUGGAGUCAGUAAACCCCUGCCUCAUCCUCAUCGUACGCCGAGAAAACGUGGUCGGGGACUCCAUGGAGGUGCUGAGGAAGUCCAAAAACGUUGAUUACAAGAAGCCGCUCAAGGUGAUCUUCGUUGGAGAGGAGGCCGUAGACGCUGGCGGUGUGAGAAAAGAGUUCUUCCUGCUCAUCAUGAAAGAACUCUUGGACCCUAAAUAUGGGAUGUUCAGAUACUACGAGGAGUCCAGACUCAUCUGGUUCGCUCACAAGACAUUUGAAGACAUUGACUUGUUCCAUCUGAUCGGUGUGGUUUGUGGAUUGGCCAUCUAUAACCUCACUAUAGUGGAGCUGAACUUCCCACUAGCGCUGUACAAGAAACUCCUGAAGAAAACUCCCACUCUAGAGGACCUGAAGGAGCUCAUGCCUGACGUAGGGAGGAGUCUUCGGCAGCUGCUAGAUUAUACGGAGGAUGAUCUGGAAGACACUUUCUGCCUGAAUUUCACAGUAACAGAGGAACACCACAGAGCCACAGAGGUAUUGGAGCUGGUUCCCAACGGGACAGACAUCAGCGUCAACAAGUCCAACAGGCAGGAGUUCGUCAAUGCCUACGUCGAUUAUAUAUUCAACACCUCCGUGGCUCCUCAGUUCAGUGCUUUCUACGCAGGAUUUCACAAAGUGUGUGGAGGGAAAGUUCUAGAGCUUUUCCAGCCAAGUGAACUGCAGGCCAUGGUCAUAGGAAACACCAAUUAUGACUGGAAGGAGUUAGAGAAGAGCACAGAGUAUAAGGGCGAGUACUGGGCCAAUCACCCCACCAUCAAGAUAUUCUGGGAAGUGUUUCACGAGCUAAACCCAAAGCCCCUCCUGUUCCUCACGGGCAGCGACCGAAUCCCCAUCCUGGGCAUGAAGAGCCUGGUGUUAGUGAUCCAGCCCACCUGUGGCGGAAAGCACUAUUUCCCUGUAGCACACACAUGCUUCAACCUGCUGGAUCUGCCCAAGUACACUAAUAAGGAGACACUCAAAGAGAAACUGCUACACGCCAUCGAACACACCCAGGGCUUCAACCUCGUCUGA
rnacentral:lncRNA from 1 species